rnacentral:rRNA from 1 species
GGUUAAGCGACUAAGCGUACACGGUGGAUGCCCUGGCAGUCAGAGGCGAUGAAGGACGUGCUAAUCUGCGAUAAGCGUCGGUGAGGUGAUAUGAACCGUUAUAACCGGCGAUUUCCGAAUGGGGAAACCCAGUGUGUUUCGACACACUAUCAUUAACUGAAUCCAUAGGUUAAUGAGGCGAACCGGGGGAACUGAAACAUCUAAGUACCCCGAGGAAAAGAAAUCAACCGAGAUUCCCCCAGUAGCGGCGAGCGAACGGGGAGGAGCCCAGAGCCUGAAUCAGUGUGUGUGUUAGUGGAAGCGUCUGGAAAGGCGCGCGAUACAGGGUGACAGCCCCGUACACAAAAAUACACAUAUUGUGAGCUCGAUGAGUAGGGCGGGACACGUGGUAUCCUGUCUGAAUAUGGGGGGACCAUCCUCCAAGGCUAAAUACUCCUGACUGACCGAUAGUGAACCAGUACCGUGAGGGAAAGGCGAAAAGAACCCCGGCGAGGGGAGUGAAAAAGAACCUGAAACCGUGUACGUACAAGCAGUGGGAGCCUCUUUAUGGGGUGACUGCGUACCUUUUGUAUAAUGGGUCAGCGACUUAUAUUCUGUAGCAAGGUUAACCGAAUAGGGGAGCCGAAGGGAAACCGAGUCUUAACUGGGCGUUAAGUUGCAGGGUAUAGACCCGAAACCCGGUGAUCUAGCCAUGGGCAGGUUGAAGGUUGGGUAACACUAACUGGAGGACCGAACCGACUAAUGUUGAAAAAUUAGCGGAUGACUUGUGGCUGGGGGUGAAAGGCCAAUCAAACCGGGAGAUAGCUGGUUCUCCCCGAAAGCUAUUUAGGUAGCGCCUCGUGAAUUCAUCUCCGGGGGUAGAGCACUGUUUCGGCAAGGGGGUCAUCCCGACUUACCAACCCGAUGCAAACUGCGAAUACCGGAGAAUGUUAUCACGGGAGACACACGGCGGGUGCUAACGUCCGUCGUGAAGAGGGAAACAACCCAGACCGCCAGCUAAGGUCCCAAAGUCAUGGUUAAGUGGGAAACGAUGUGGGAAGGCCCAGACAGCCAGGAUGUUGGCUUAGAAGCAGCCAUCAUUUAAAGAAAGCGUAAUAGCUCACUGGUCGAGUCGGCCUGCGCGGAAGAUGUAACGGGGCUAAACCAUGCACCGAAGCUGCGGCAGCGACACUAUGUGUUGUUGGGUAGGGGAGCGUUCUGUAAGCCUGUGAAGGUGGCCUGUGAGGGUUGCUGGAGGUAUCAGAAGUGCGAAUGCUGACAUAAGUAACGAUAAAGCGGGUGAAAAGCCCGCUCGCCGGAAGACCAAGGGUUCCUGUCCAACGUUAAUCGGGGCAGGGUGAGUCGACCCCUAAGGCGAGGCCGAAAGGCGUAGUCGAUGGGAAACAGGUUAAUAUUCCUGUACUUGGUGUUACUGCGAAGGGGGGACGGAGAAGGCUAUGUUGGCCGGGCGACGGUUGUCCCGGUUUAAGCGUGUAGGCUGGUUUUCCAGGCAAAUCCGGAAAACCAAGGCUGAGGCGUGAUGACGAGGCACUACGGUGCUGAAGCGACAAAUGCCCUGCUUCCAGGAAAAGCCUCUAAGCAUCAGGUAACAUCAAAUCGUACCCCAAACCGACACAGGUGGUCAGGUAGAGAAUACCAAGGCGCUUGAGAGAACUCGGGUGAAGGAACUAGGCAAAAUGGUGCCGUAACUUCGGGAGAAGGCACGCUGAUAUGUAGGUGAAGCGACUUGCUCGUGGAGCUGAAAUCAGUCGAAGAUACCAGCUGGCUGCAACUGUUUAUUAAAAACACAGCACUGUGCAAACACGAAAGUGGAUGUAUACGGUGUGACGCCUGCCCGGUGCCGGAAGGUUAAUUGAUGGGGUUAGCGGUAACGCGAAGCUCUUGAUCGAAGCCCCGGUAAACGGCGGCCGUAACUAUAACGGUCCUAAGGUAGCGAAAUUCCUUGUCGGGUAAGUUCCGACCUGCACGAAUGGCGUAAUGAUGGCCAGGCUGUCUCCACCCGAGACUCAGUGAAAUUGAACUCGCUGUGAAGAUGCAGUGUACCCGCGGCAAGACGGAAAGACCCCGUGAACCUUUACUAUAGCUUGACACUGAACAUUGAGCCUUGAUGUGUAGGAUAGGUGGGAGGCUUUGAAGUGUGGACGCCAGUCUGCAUGGAGCCGACCUUGAAAUACCACCCUUUAAUGUUUGAUGUUCUAACGUUGGCCCGUAAUCCGGGUUGCGGACAGUGUCUGGUGGGUAGUUUGACUGGGGCGGUCUCCUCCUAAAGAGUAACGGAGGAGCACGAAGGUUGGCUAAUCCUGGUCGGACAUCAGGAGGUUAGUGCAAUGGCAUAAGCCAGCUUGACUGCGAGCGUGACGGCGCGAGCAGGUGCGAAAGCAGGUCAUAGUGAUCCGGUGGUUCUGAAUGGAAGGGCCAUCGCUCAACGGAUAAAAGGUACUCCGGGGAUAACAGGCUGAUACCGCCCAAGAGUUCAUAUCGACGGCGGUGUUUGGCACCUCGAUGUCGGCUCAUCACAUCCUGGGGCUGAAGUAGGUCCCAAGGGUAUGGCUGUUCGCCAUUUAAAGUGGUACGCGAGCUGGGUUUAGAACGUCGUGAGACAGUUCGGUCCCUAUCUGCCGUGGGCGCUGGAGAACUGAGGGGGGCUGCUCCUAGUACGAGAGGACCGGAGUGGACGCAUCACUGGUGUUCGGGUUGUCAUGCCAAUGGCACUGCCCGGUAGCUAAAUGCGGAAGAGAUAAGUGCUGAAAGCAUCUAAGCACGAAACUUGCCCCGAGAUGAGUUCUCCCUGAGACUUAGAGUCUCCUGAAGGAACGUUGAAGACGACGACGUUGAUAGGCCGGGUGUGUAAGCGCAGCGAUGCGUUGAGCUAACCGGUACUAAUGAACCGUGAGGCUUAACCUU